ACAGUAUCCUAUUCGGAUUAGAAAGCUCUCCCUAAUCCGACUUUAAUUCGAAUUCAAAGUCAGAUGAUGCCUUUAUAUAUAAACAGGGGUGUUGGGUGUUGACAUAUCGAUAGACAAAAGCAAUGGCUGGUGCUUUUGAUUCAGAACACCUCUUGGCAGAAAUCCUGAAAAGACUACCUCCAAAAUCUCUAGCACAAUGCACUUGUGUGGAGAAAUCAUGGUAUGAUCUUAUACAAUCUCCUAAUUUCAAAGCUCUGUACUCUGAUUCUAAUCAAUUUAUUUAUAUGCUUGCAAAACUAUUUAAUGGGGGCUUUGCUUUAUAUAGAAUGGAUCCACUACUUCACCCGCGAUUUAGUAGCAAUAGUUGUAGCUCCGACUCUACUUAUCUUCAUGACUUGCGUCCUCUUCUUGUUUUCCCCACAGAUUCGCAUUUAGGAGACAAUUAUUUCAAGUGCAUAAAUAAAAUUAGGUUCCAAGAUAUAUUUCUAUGGACUUGCAUUGUCGUCGGGUAAUAAAUACACUAGCUUUUAUACCAUGGAAGAAAAGGAUCUUAUGAGUAUAGAACCUAGUGAAGACAAUGUCAUUACGAAUUUUAAACUUUAACUAAAAUUAAAAAUCCCAUGCAUGAGUUAAAGCUUUUUCCGAUUGUUUUUGUCGCCAAUGACAAACUCUAUAUUCUAUCUGGGUGCUUUCUCGAUACCAUAUUUGAAGUCUUUUCUCCUGCUGACGGGACUUGGCAAGUGUUGCCCAAUCCAGAAGAUGAUGCAUUAGAGUUUCAUUAUUAUGCUGAUGGGGUUUCUUAUCUUGUCAUGGAACAAGAGCAAAUAGUCUAUUUUGCUACUACUAGACUACUCUCGUCCUUCAAUCUACAAACACAUCAAUGGGCUAUACACACAUAUUUUAAUAGUCCAACUCCUGCACAUUUUACAUUCGGUCAACAAAAAUUUCGUUACAUAUGUAAUCCAAUAAUCGGUAAUUUGGCUUUUGGUAUACUCCCCGAUCAGCUUGUUAGUUAUGUCUGUGCAUCAAAGAUGACCUCCCGUGGUGAAGAAUUUAUGCAACCAUACUUGGCACCUGACAAAGCCUUCCUGGAAGUUUUACGAUAUUCUAGGUUCACCUACAUGUUCAAACAGUGUUCCACCGACUACAUUGUUGCGUUUCAGGACUCUGAUGGCAAGCAACAACUCUGUAUUAUAACCUACGGCUGCAGGCCACUUGAGAAGAGAUGAGAAGACAAAAGAUGGUGGCGUGAUCAGGAGGUACUUCAGUGCCAAAUUUUUGUAUACUAAGGCUGUGUUCACUUCAUGGAAUGGAAUGAGGGGAGAAUGGAAUGAAAAAUUAUAUAGAAGUUUUAAGGAGAAAGAAGAAAGUAUGAGAUAAUGGUGACAAAAUAUGAAUGUAGUUAAUUUUUUUGUGAGAAAGAUUGUGAAGAAACAUAAUGUUCAAAUGGAAUGAGCAUUCCUUCCAAAACAUGUGGGUUAUAAUUAUAGUUAAAAUAGUAAGGUUGGAAUGAUUGAAGGAAUGAAAAUUAUAUACAUUUUCUUUGAUCAA